UACAGAGGUCCCGAGCGUUGUUCGGAUUCACUGGGCGUAAAGGGUGCGUAGGUGGUGAGGUAAGUCGGAUGUGAAAUCCCCAGGCUUAACCUGGGAACGGCAUCCGAUACUGGAUGGCUUGAAUUCGGGAGAGGGAUGCAGAAUUCCAGGUGUAGCGGUGAAAUGCGUAGAUAUCUGGAGGAAUACCGGUGGCGAAGGCGGCAUCCUGGACCGACAUUGACGCUGAGGAGCGAAAGCCAGGGGAGCAAACGGG
rnacentral:rRNA from 1 species